CUUUUUUCUGCUGGGCUUCUGGGGCGGGCUCAGGUACCCACCUACCCCCAUCCCCACCCCAGCGUCCAGAGGCCUGGUCGUCCCCACCCCUAGCCCCGCUCAAGUCUGAAAACUGCAGAGAGGGAGGACACAAUCAAGCAGCCAAUAUUGAUUGAAUAAUAAGCUUCACUUGCCAGAAGCACUGGAAAUUCUGUAUUCUAGACUGACUGUGGAGAAGAGGCCACAUAAUAAUGAAGAGGUAUUUCAGCUUAUACCUGAAACUGCAUCUGCCCUGUGCUAUUUCAACUUAUACCUGAAACUGCCAUCAGUCAGAUUUAGCUUUUCAAAUAGAAAUGUGACUUGUCCAAGAAAUAAAUAAAAAUA